rnacentral:rRNA from 1 species
GAUGAACGCUGGCGGCGUGCCUAAUACAUGCAAGUUGAGCGCUGAAGGUUGGUACUUGUACCGACUGGAUGAGCAGCGAACGGGUGAGUAACGCGUGGGGAAUCUGCCUUUGAGCGGGGGACAACAUUUGGAAACGAAUGCUAAUACCGCAUAAAAACUUUAAACACAAGUUUUAAGUUUGAAAGAUGCAAUUGCAUCACUCAAAGAUGAUCUCGCGUUGUAUUAGCUAGUUGGUGAGGUAAAGGCUCACCAAGGCGAUGAUACAUAGCCGACCUGAGAGGGUGAUCGGCCACAUUGGGACUGAGACACGGCCCAAACUCCUACGGGAGGCAGCAGUAGGGAAUCUUCGGCAAUGGACGAAAGUCUGACCGAGCAACGCCGCGUGAGUGAAGAAGGUUUUCGGAUCGUAAAACUCUGUUGGUAGAGAAGAACGUUGGUGAGAGUGGAAAGCUCAUCAAGUGACGGUAACUACCCAGAAAGGGACGGCUAACUACGUG